GCACGGAGUUAGCCGGGGCUUAUUCUCCCGGUACAGUCAUUAUCUUCCCGGGUAAAAGAGCUUUACAACCCUAAGGCCUUCAUCGCUCACGCGGCAUUGCUGGAUCAGGCUUGCGCCCAUUGUCCAAUAUUCCCCACUGCUGCCUCCCGUAGGAGUCUGGGCCGUGUCUCAGUCCCAGUGUGGCUGAUCAUCCUCUCAGACCAGCUAUGGAUCGUCGCCUUGGUAGGCCUUUACCCCACCAACUAGCUAAUCCAACGCGGGCUCAUCCUUUGGCGAUAAAUCUUUGGUCCGAAGACAUCAUACGGUAUUAGCACAAGUUUCCCUGAGUUAUUCCGUACCAAAGGGCAGAUUCCCACGCGUUACGCACCCGUGCGCCACUAACCCCGAAAGGUUCGUUCGACUUGCAUGUGUUAGGCAUGCCGCCAGCGUUCGUU
rnacentral:rRNA from 1 species